rnacentral:rRNA from 1 species
UUGACCUCGGAUCAGGUAGGACUACCCGCUGAACUUAAGCAUAUCAAUAAGCGGAGGAAAAGAAACCAACAGGGAUUGCCCCAGUAACGGCGAGUGAAGCGGCAACAGCUCAGAUUUGGAAUCUGGCCCCCAGGGCCCGAGUUGUAAUCUGGAGAGGAUGCUUCUGGCGCGGCGCCUUCCGAGUUCCCUGGAACGGGACGCCGGAGAGGGUGAGAGCCCCGUACGGUCGGACGCCUAGCCUUUGUGAAGCUCCUUCGACGAGUCGAGUAGUUUGGGAAUGCUGCUCAAAAUGGGAGGUAAAUUUCUUCUAAAGCUAAAUAUUGGCCAGAGACCGAUAGCGCACAAGUAGAGUGAUCGAAAGAUGAAAAGCACUUUGAAAAGAGGGUUAAACAGUACGUGAAAUUGUUGAAAGGGAAGCGCCCGUGGCCAGACUUGUGCCCCGCGGACCACCCGGCGCCCUCAGCGCCGGUGCACUCCGCGGGGCGCAGGCCAGCAUCGGUUUUUCCAGGGGGACAAAGGCGGCGGGAACGUGGCUCCCUCGGGAGUGUUAUAGCCCGCCGCGCCAUGCCCCUGGGGGGACCGAGGACCGCG